UACGUAGGUGGCAAGCGUUGUCCGGAUUUACUGGGCGUAAAGAGCGCGCAGGCGGUCGUGCAAGUCGCGUGUGAAAGCCCCCGGCUCAACUGGGGAGGGUCACGCGAUACUGCUCGACUCGAAGGCAGGAGAGGGAAGUGGAAUUCCCGGUGUAGUGGUGAAAUGCGUAGAUAUCGGGAGGAACACCAGUGGCGAAGGCGGCUCACUGGUCCGGUA
rnacentral:rRNA from 1 species